AAGGAAUUGGCUCAAUGGUAGAGCAACCGUUUGAACACACGGAAGGUUAUGAGUUCGAAUCUCUCAUUUUUCA